AGAUUACCCGCCGAAUUUAAGCAUAUUAAUAAGCGGAGGAAAAGAAACUAACCAGGAUUCCCCUAGUAACGGCGAGUGAAGCGGGAAGAGCCCAAACUUUCAAAUCCGGUGGCACACAAGUCGGCCACCCGAAUUGUAGUUUCAGGAGGCACCAUCGCGGGCGUCGGGCCCCGGUCCAAGUCCUUUGGAACGAGGCGUCGAAGAGGGUGAGAAUCCCGUACCCCGACCGUCCGGGUCCGGCGUCGACACGCGUUGGGGUCUCUCCGAGUCGGGUUGUUUGGGAAUGCAGCCCCAAUUGGGUGGUAAAUUUCAUCCAAGGCUAAACAAAUGCGAGAGACCGAUAGCAAACAAGUACCGUGAGGGAAAGGUGAAAAGAACUUUGAAAAGAGAGUCAAAAGUGCUUGAAAUUGUCGGGAG
rnacentral:rRNA from 1 species